AUCAAAUACUAAGCACUACGGUCUAUAAAAAAUGUUUAUACGCGUCAAAUAUUAAGCAGUACGGCAUAUAAAAAAUGUUUAGACGCGUCAAAUACUAAGCAGUACGGCAUAUAAAAAAUAUUAGGACGCGUCAAAUACUAAUCAGUACGGCAUAUUAAAAAUAUUAAUACGCGUCAAAUACUAAGCAGUACGGCAUCAGAAAAAAUCUAUUCUAUCAAAAUAUAUUACUACCGGCCAUAAUAUUUAGACGUAUCAAAUACUAAACAGUACGACAUUAACAGUUGUCCAAAAUAAUGAGCACUACCAAACGCUAAAACAUACUUCUAUAUAUACAUACACACGUAUCCUCAUAAACAUAUACAUUAUAGGAUAAAUACGUGAGAGAUUAGGAUUUACCCUUGAAGCGUGUCAACCCCAACCUCGAGCAGCCUCACAGUCACCGGAUGAGCACCACCACCACCUCCAAACUCCUCCAAACCACCACCAUUGCCCCAACUUAGCAACACGAAAUUAGCUCAAAAUGUUCAAUGAAAAGAUUAGAUCAAGGUGUCAUUGGGUGCUAAAUAGCAAGGGGAUGCAGCUUUCUGGGUUAAACGGGAUCAAAACUCACUCAUUUUGGGAAGAAUUUGGGGGCAUUUUUGAGGAAUAAGAAGAGGAGAAGAAGAACAGAAGGUGCAGGCGGCAGGAAGAAGAAGAGGGCUCGGUGGACUGGGCUCGCGCGAUGGGAAGUGAGGAAAGGAAAGGAAAAAGAGAAAAAGAAAAAAGAGAAAAGGAGAUUCCCUGGCCCAGGUGAGGCC
rnacentral:lncRNA from 1 species